AUUUGUUUAUUGGUUUAUCACACACAGUCUACAGUAAAUCAUAUUGAUUGUACAAAAUACUUCACAUUUAGUUUCUCAUUCACCAAGUAAGGAAUUCAUAUGAUUCGUAAUGCUUGUUCAAGAAACGUGACUGAUCUGCGGACCAAACUAAGCGUCAACGCCUAAAAAAUGAUUAUUGAAGUUGAAAAAUUUCGUAAAGUAACGAUGUGUAGAAGGAUAAUCAGAGAAUUCCCACCGUGAAACAAUUGUGGUUUAGAAAAUUAUGCAUCACCUCUUUUAGUACGGAGUAGCGGGUUUGAAGGACGCUGAACUUUCGGAGUACCAUCCGCGUUGAAAUCAUCGUCCGUAGAAUCCGGACAGGUUUUCCUGGUGCAGGAAACCGCAGUUCCAUCCGGGGAACACGUGCAGGUGUUGCAUUUGAAGGGACUGACGCUUCCGGGCUCGCAAAUCACUUCUUUUUCGCCUCUCUUGGUACGGAGCAGCGGGUUCGAGGGACGCUGAACUUUCGGAGUACCAUCCGCGUUGAAAUCAUCGUCCGUAGAAUCCGGACAGGUUUUCCUGGUGCAGGAAACCGCAGUUCCAUCCGGGGAACACGUGCAGGUGUUGCAUUUGAAGGGACUGACGCUUCCGGGCUCGCAAAUCACUUCUUUUUCGCCUCUCUUGGUACGGAGCAGCGGGUUCGAGGGACGCUGAACUUUCGGAGUACCAUCCGCGUUGAAAUCAUCGUCCGUAGAAUCCGGACAGGUUUUCCUGGUGCAGGAAACCGCAGUUCCAUCCGGGGAACACGUGCAAGUAUUGCAUUUGAAGGGACUGACGCUUCCGGGCUCGCAAAUCACUUCUUUUUCGCCUCUCUUGGUACGGAGCAGCGGGUUUGAGGGACGCUGAACUUUCGGAGUACCAUCCGCGUUGAAAUCAUCGUCCGUAGAAUCCGGACAGGUUUUCCUGGUGCAGGAAACCGCAGUUCCAUCCGGGGAACACGUGCAAGUGUUGCAUUUGAAGGGACUGACGCUUCCGGGCUCGCAAAUCACUUCUUUUUGGCUUUCGAUUGGUUGGGUGUUCACUGUUUGAAGAAUGUAUUUUAUGAUAAAAUAAUAAUAGGCCGACAGGGUAAAUUGAUGUUCAUGAGGAUUCAUUUACUCACCGCUCACUAAGGCCGUGAUGACCAACGCAGAAACUACAAUUAUCUUCAUAUUACGUUUGGCUGAAUCGAAAAGCGAUAUUUUAGAAUUAUAUUAAACAAUUUUCUCAGCGCGUACACGUCGCCCGUUGGUUGGUGAAUGAUGGGUCUUCACAGAGAUGAGCGGUAUUUAGUAGAGGCCAGCGUCAAUAAAUCUUGACGAACGGGCCAAUCGUAUGAGCCGAAAAUCAGCUGCGUUGACAAAUAAACGAAGCGCUUCUGCAAAGACAAAUUGGGAAUACUAAUUGGAACACUUCCAAAGAACUGCCAACCAACCAUGACGACAAUUUCGGUCAACAUUAUCACCAGUGAGAAGAUAACCCUGAUGGGGAACUCCAUCUCACAAAUUAUUUUCGCCAAAUAAGACUUCUACUUUUCACAUCAAUAAGAUACCGAAAUUUGAGAGAAAUCUGAAAAAAUUUGGCACGUAAAUAUUUUGUCGUUAACUGUACAAACACUUCAAACUCAAAUAUUCAAAUUCGAAAAGCUACCAUUAUUCCACUACCACGCAUGCACAUGAUCGACGUGUACGCGCGAAUGUGAUCCGAGAUAUUCGUUGCAGAGUUUGUUAAACUUGAACGACACCUUCGAAGUUGAUUUUUGACGACUUUGUUGCGGAUAUGAGAGAAUCACGACUUUUCCAUUAUUCUCUUCCUCCAGUCUGGAUAUGCUCCGAAACUAUACAUCUCUUAUCAAC
rnacentral:misc_RNA from 1 species